UAGGAAUCCUCAGUUCUCCAGGUGAUAACUGGGAGAGCUCUUGACUGAUUCCAGCCUUUCUUCAGUGAAAUUUCAAGAUGCAGCAAAAUAAGCCUGAGGGCUGUGGACCAACUGACCUCUGGAAUGCUGCUUUUCU
rnacentral:lncRNA from 12 species